rnacentral:lncRNA from 1 species
GUUUACUUCCAAACUCAUAUAGGUAAAAUCUGUCAAGGGUAUCCCUAUAACUCUAACACCCCACUCAUAUGAGCUAUAGAUUUUUACAUAAAGAGUUAUAAAACUCAACCUCGAAAAUCAUUACAGGAUAAAUGCACUCACAUCAUCGGGAUGUAAUAAUAAUAAAUAUAGUACAUUUUAAACCAAGCCAUCAUAUGAUUCGUUCUUCCCAUUGAACCUGGUUAUAGGAUCUCUAGUCUCUAGGUUGGGUUUCCUCAAAUAUGACUUAUGAUCUUAUGGGCUUCAAUCCCAUCCCCCUCGAUGUGCUCCAGACCCUUUCUCUUGCUAAGGCCAUAGUUAGUGGAUCUGCAAGAUUAUCACAAGAUUUAACAUAAUCAACAUUAAUGGUAUCAUUGUCAAAUAUGAUCUUAUAGUACUAUAUUUUCUCCUUAUAUGUCUGGAUUUAUCGGUGUAAUAACGAUUUUGACUCUACCAAUUGCAGCGAUGCUAUCACAAUAAAUUAAAAAAAGAGGAAUUGGUUUUUCAAAAUAAGAAAUUAGAAAUAAUAAAUCUCUCAAACAGUUUGCUUCCUCACUAGCUGAAGCUUAAGCAAUUAGCUCAGCCUCCAUGGUUAGCAAUUAUUGUUUGCUUUUUCGAUUUCCAACAAAUAGCACCACCUCCCAAAGUAAAAAUAUAACCUGUAAUAGAACAUGAAUCACCAAAUAAAGUAUUCCAAUCUGCAUCAGAAAAACAUUCGAGUACAUCAUGAUAUUUUUUAUUAAAAAAGCCAUAGGUUUUUGUACCAAGUAAAUACCUCAUAACUCUUGUUAUGGCAUGUCCAUAUUCUUUAUCUGGCUUGCUCCUAAACCUGCUAAGGACUCCUACCGCAUAUGCAAUAUCAAGCCUAGUACAAUCAGUCACAUAUCUCAAGCUUCCAAUUAAGCUAGCAUAUUCCUUUUGAUUUAUCACAUCAUUGUCACUUUGAACAGAAAAUAAAUGAACACUUGAAUCAAAAUGGGUUACAACAUGCUUGCAAUCAAUAAAAUUAUAUUUUUUUAAAAUUUUUUCAACAUAAUGUGACUAGUCAAGAAAAAUUCCAUCACAUGUUCUAGUAAUCUUCAUUCCAAGAAUGAAACUUGCCUCUCCUAAAUCUUUCAUGUCAAAAUGGCUACUAAGCAUGAUUUUAGUUUCUCCAAUAAUAUUCAUGUUAGAGCCAAAUAUUAGCAAAUCAUCAACAUAGAGGCAAACAAUUACACGUGAAUUAUUUCAAGACUUAUGAUAGAUGCACUUAUCACAUUCAUUCUAUUUAAAACCAUCUUCUAUCAUGCAGGAAUCAAAAUUUUCAUGCCAUUGGUUAGGUGCCUGUUUCAAGCCAUAUAAGGAUUUAGUAAGUUUACACACUUUACUUUCUUGGCAAGCUUCUAUAAGACCCUCAGGUUGAUCCAUAUAAAUUUUUUUCAUUUAGGUCCCCAUUUAAAAAAUCAGUUUUUACAUCCAUUUGAUGAACAUGCAAAUCAAAAAUUGCACCAAUAGUAAUUAAAAGUCUAAUGGAAGUAAUCUAGUUACCGAAGAAAAAGUAUCAAAAAAUUCUAGGCCUUCUAGUUGCUUAAAACCUUUAGCAACUAACUUAGCUUUAUACUUAUCAACCGAUCCAUCUGGUUUUAACUUUUUUCUUAGGACCUAUUUGCACCCAAUUGUUUUAAAAUCUGGUGGUAAAUCAACCAACUUCUUUAAGUUUUAUUAGAAACUAAUGACUCUAUUUCAUUAUUUACAGCUUCUAUCCAAAAAAUAAUAUCAGGCGAUAAUAAAGCUUCUUUUAAAGUAAGAGUGUCAUUUUCAAUAUUAAAAGCAUAAAAAUCAGGACCAAAAUCUUUUUCUGUUCUAGCUCUUUUACUUUUUCUUAACUCAAAAGCAUCAUUUUCUUCAUUUUACAAAAUAGAAGUAGAAGACUAGGCAUAUCCAAAAAAUUAUUUUUAUCUCUUUGACCUCCACUAUUUCUAGACUGAAACAAAAAUUUAUUUUCAUGAAAAAUAGCAUCACCUGAUUCUAUAAUUAUAUUCUCUUCUAGAUUUAAAAAUCUAUAGGUUGUACUAUUAGAAGCAUAAUCAAGAAAAGCACAAGUGGCAAUUUUUUUACCCAAUUUUCAAAUUUUAUGAUCCAUUAGCCUAACUUAGGCUAAACAACCCCAAAUUUUCACAUAACCCAAAUUUGGCUUGUAAUGUUUUCACAACUCAAAUAGUGUCAACUUUAUUUUCUUAUGAGGCACCCUAUUCAACGCAUAACAUGCAGUCAAAAUAGCUUCACCCCACAAAUUUAAAGAUGCAUUUGACUCAAUAAGCAUGACAUUAGUUAACUCUACCAAAGUUCUAUUUUUUCUUUCAGCCACACUGUUUGAUGCUAGAGAAUAACGUGGAGUAGUUUUAUGAAUUAUUCCCAAUGAUCUCAUAAAAGAAUUAAAUUCAUUAGACUCAUAUUCACGGCCUCUAUCACUUCUAAUUCUUUUUAUUUUUCUAUCAAGUUGAUUUUCAACCCCAUGGAGAUAAUUUUUAAAAUUUUCAAACGCAUCAUUUUUAUUUUCAUCAAAUAAACAUAUGUGAAUUUAGAGAAAUCAUCAAUAAAAGUGUUCAUGGAGAUAAUUUUAAAAUUUUCAAACGCAUCAUUUUUAUUUUUCAUCAAAUAAAAAUAUAUGAAUUUAGAGAAAUCAUCAAUAAAAGUGACAAAGUAUCUAUUUUCUCCACGGGUUAAAAUUCCUCCAAGUUCACAAAUAUCUGUGUGAACUAAUUCUAACAAUUCAGAUUUUCUUUCAACUUGAAAAUGAGGCCUUUUAGUUAUUUUGGCUUUACUACAAGCCUCACAUUUUUCAAAGUUCUUUUUAAUCAUUGUGAUUAAUCCUAAACUAUUUAUGAUUCCCACAUAACGAUUAUUAAUAUGACACAAACGAGCAUGCCAAAAAUUAUUAGAAGACAGCAUAUAAACAGAACUUGUUUCUUUUCAAUAAUUGGGAUUAAUCCUAAACUACUCAUGAUUCUCAUAUAACGAUUAUUAAUAUGACACAAACGAGAAUGCCAAAAAUUAUUAGAAGACAACAUAUAAACAGAACUUGAAGUAGUUUUAUUCAUCUCAACAUUGAACUUGAACAUCCCAUCACAUGCAUACCCCUUAUCCACAAAAAUACCCUUUUUCACUAUUACAUAUUGAUCACUUUCAAUAAUUUAUUUGAAGCCUGCCUUGUUAAGAAGAAAACUAGACAUCAAAUUUUUGCGAAUUUCAACGUUAAAACUCUUCUUGAAGUAAACUUCAACUCGACUUCUCCCUUUACAAGCACAUGGGUAGUGUGAGAAUCACCACACAUGAUGGUUUUGGGCUCCUCAAAUGGAGUAUACACUUUAAACCAAUCUCUAUCAUAGCAAAUAUGACGGUUUGCUCCAGAAUCAGCCCAUCAUCCACAAUAUUUUCUACCAUGUUAAUGUCUGUUAUCACUGCCACAAGUGGCUCUUUGGUAAAGUUUGCCUGUGGUGUAGGACCACGUUUUCCGAAAUUUACAAAAUCGAGCAAUAUGCCCACUCUUGCCACAGACAAAGCAUGGUUUCACAAUUUAAACUUGUUGAUUCCGUGCUUAGUUGUUUGCAACAUUAUUCUUCUUGAGAGGUCUAUCAUAUUUUUUCUUAAAACUUUUCUUCUUCGGCUUCAAAGAAGUAUUUUUGUGAGUUUCAGGAUUAAUAUUAUUUGAAGUAAUUAAAUUUACCCUUGUAGUGACGUGUUGUAGAGUGCUCUCUUCUGAUUGCAUAAGUGCAUCUUGGUCUCUUGCCUCUUUUUCCAUGCGAAUCUGCAUUAUCAACGUCUCAUUGAAGUUUUUUUUUGUUUGUGCGACAUAGUUUUUUGAAAUUCCCUCCAUGAAGGUGGUAGUUUAUCUAUUAUACCUCAAACAAUAAGGUUGUCACCAAUUUUAAUAUCUGCGGAACUGAGCUCUCCAACGAUCAUUAUGAAUUCUUUAGCUUGGUCUACUACAGAUUUGUUGUCCACCAUUUAAAAACGAAAAAAUCUGCUAGCAGCAUAUUUUUCGCACAUGCCUCCUCUGUAUCAUACUUACUCUGCAACGCUUUCAAAAUUUUCUUCGCAGUAGAGUAGGUUCUAUAAUAAUAAUCAUAAAAAUCAUCAGAUAGACAAUUAAGAAGAUAAUACCGACACUUGUAUGAGUCAUUGUUGUAUUUUUCAAUUUUUUUCUUGAAGGGAAAUUAGCUCAUCAUCAUUCAUGGAGGAGUUGUCUACUUUUCUAGGACUCUUCUAAGUUAAAACGUAAGAAACAUUGAGAAAACUCAAAUAAAAAAGUACUUUGCCCUUUCAUCUCUUGAAAUGAGUACCGUUGAAACGGAAUGGCUUAUUGAGAUCCCACCUUAAUAUCCGCGGAUUUUUCAACUAUAGCCAUUUGAAUCUCCUUAAAAUUAAACAACAACAACAACAAUAACAACCCAGUAAAAUCCCACUAGUCGGGUCUGUGGAGGAUAGUGUGUACGUAGACCUUACCUCUACCCUGCAGGUGGUAGAGAGGCCAUUUCUAAAAGACCCUCAGUUCAAGAAGACAAAAAAAGACAAAAAGAGGCAAUCUAUCAGUACCAUCAAUAGAAACCAUAGAACAAAUAAUAACAUUACCAGAACCAUAAAAUAAGUGAAAAGUAAAAUAAUAACCAGUAGAUAAAGCACAUCAAAGAGGAACGAAAAAGUAGUGUGGACUCAACAUAAAACACAAACAGUCAAAGAUCAAGUCCUAACAGAUUAGCCUCACUCUGCAGGCCCAUUGAGAUAUCCUCAACAACCUCCUAACCUGCAACCUUAAUGUCCGAUCUCCAAAACUUCCUGUCUAGGGCCAUGUCCUCGGUAAUAUGAAGUCUCACCAUGUCCUGUUUGAUCACCUCUCUCCAAUACUUCUUAGGCUGCCCUCUACCUCUCCUCAUGCCCACCAAAGUCAGCCGUUCACACCUCCUCACUAGCGCAUCUGGGCUUCUCUUCCGGACGUACCCAAACCAUCUGAGCCUUGCUUCUCUCAACUGGUCAUCCAUGGGGGCGACCCCACCUUCUUCCGAACUACUUCAUUCCUAAUCUUAUCCGUCUUGGUGUGCCUGCACAUUCACCUCAACAUCCUCAUUUCAGCUACUUUCAUCUUUUGGAUUUGAGAGUUCUUGACUGGCCAGCACUCAGCCCCGUACAAUAUGGUCGGUCUAACCACCCCUUUAUAAAAUUUACCUUUGAGAAUCUGUCGCACUUUCUUGUCACACAGGGCUCUAGACGCUGACCUCCAUUUCAUACACCCAACUCCAUACGAUGUAUGACAUCCUCGUCGAUCGCCUCAUCCCCCUGAAUAACUGACCAAGGUACUUGAAACUACCCUUCUUAGGGAUGACUUAAGAAUCAAGCCUCACGUCUAAUCCCACUUCCUUUGGCUCAGCACUGAACUUGCACUCUAAGUAGUCCCUCUUAGUCCUGCUUAACUGAAAACCCUUAGACUCAAGCGUCUGUCUCCAAACCUCUAGUCUCUUAUUGACGGCGCCACGCGUCUCAUCAAUCAGCACUAUGUCAUCGACAAAUAACAUCCAUUGUGGCACCUCUCCUUAAAUAUGGUGUAUCAGUGCAUCCAUUACCAGGGAAAAAAGAAAUGGACUGAGCGCAGACCCUUGGUGUAACCCCAUAACAACCAAAAAAUGCAGUGAGUCGCCUACCACUGUCCUGACCCAAGUCUUAGCUCCAUCAUACAUGUCCUUAAUCACCCUAAUGUAAGCUACCGGCACACCUUUUGCCUCCAGCCACUUCCAUAGAACCUCUCUAGAAACCUUGUCAUAGGCUUUCUCCAAAUCAAUAAACACCAUGUGCAAAUCCUUCUUCCUCUCCCUAUAUUGUUCCACUAACCUCCGAAUAAGGUCGAUAGCUUCUGUGGUAGAACGACCCGGCAUGACCCGAACUGGUUGUCUGAAAUAGAUACUGCCCUCCUCACCCUCACUUCUACCACCCUUUCCUAAACUUUCAUGGUAUGACUUAGUAAUUUGAUACCCCUAUAGUAGUCACAACUCUUGAUAUCACCUUUGUUCUUGUACAAUGGCACCACCGUACUCCACCUCCACUCCUCCGGCAUCCUUUAUAUUCUGAAAAUAACAUUAAACAUCCCAGUCAGCCACUCCAAGCCUGUUCUACCCAUAGACCUCCAAAAUUCUACCGGGAUUUCGUCUGGUCCGGUAGCUCUGUCCCUGCUCAUCUUACGCAUAGCCUCCACGACCUCGCUAACCUUGAUACGCCCAUAAUAGGUAAAGUCACGGUGACUCUCAGCAUGACCCAAUUCACCUAGCACAAUAUUCCUGUUCCCUUCUUCAUUUAGAAGUUUAUGAAAGUAGGCUUGCCACCUUCACUUAAUUUGAUCAUCCCCCGUCAACACCCUACUGUCCUCGUCUUUAAUGCACCUCACUUGGUCCAGAUCUCGAGCCUUCCUCUCUCUCGCCUUGGCCAACCUAAAUAACUUCUUCUCCCUGCCUUUGGUCCCCAGGUCCUCGUACAAACAAGCAAAAGUUGCAUUCUUAGCCUCCGAAACCGCCCGCUUCGCCUCCUUCCUAGCUACCUUAUACCUCUCAUAGUUCACUCUCCUUUCCGCCUCGCUAGUGCUUCCUACUAGUUUCAUGUAAGCCGCCUUCUUUGCGUCCACUUUACCUUGGACUACUUCAUUCCACCACCACUCACCUUUGUGACCACCAGAGUAGCCCGACAAGACCCCUAACACCUCUCUCGCCGCCUUCCUUAUAUAAUCUGUCAUCCUCGACCACAUAAUGCUCGUGUCUCCACUACUCCUCUAGGCUCCCAUAGCCACUAACCUCUCUUCCAACUCUUGCGCUUUAUCCUUAGUCAAGGCACCCCAUCUGAUCCUUGAGCAUCCUCGUACAGUACUCUUCUUCCUCCUUAUCAUAAUAUCGAUGUCCACCACCAAGAGCCUAUCUACGUCGCAAAGGUCUCGCCCGGGAUAACCUUGCAGUCCUUGUACAUCCCUCUAUCACAUCAUCUGAGGAGGAGAUAGUCAAUUUGCGUCUUUACUACCAUACUUUGGAAAAUAACCAAAUGCUCUUCCCUCUUCGGAAAACGCGAGUUAGCAAUCACAAGCUCAAAUGCCUUAGCGAAAUCCAGGGGUGAGGUAUCUCCUCCAUUCUGAUCCCCAAAGCCAAAACUGCCAUGCACCUCACUAUAGCCACCUACAAACGACCCAAUAUGCCCAUUGAAAUCCCCUCAUAUAAAUAACCUCUCGGCAGGCGGAAUGCUACGUACAAUCUCAUCCAACCCCUCCCAGAAGUGCCUAAGCCUGCUUGCGGUGCGUAAGCACUAAUGACAUUUAGGGUACACUCACCAACUACCAGUUUAAUAGUCAUUCGUCUAUCAUUCACCCGCCUAACCUCUACCAUGGACUCUCUAAGAUCCUUACCUACCAAAAUACCCACACCAUUCUUACCCUUCAGGACUCCAGAAUACCACAGAUUAUACCCAUCCACAUCCCUCGCCCUCGAUCCUACCCACCUAGUCUCCUAGACACAUGCUAUAUUAACCAUCCUCUUUUGGAGGAUCCUAGCCAACUCUAUAGACUUACCCGUCAAUGUGCCUAUGUUCCAUGACCUAAUUGUCAACCUACAGGCUCCCUUGUUCCCCUUACCUCCUUUGCCUCCUAUCACGCCNNNNNNNNNNNNNNNNNNNNNNNNNNNNNNNNNNNNNNNNNNNNNNNNNNNNNNNNNNNNNNNNNNNNNNNNNNNNNNNNNNNNNNNNNNNNNNNNNNNNNNNNNNNNNNNNNNNNNNNNNNNNNNNNNNNNNNNNNNNNNNNNNNNNNNNNNNNNNNNNNNNNNNNNNNNNNNNNNNNNNNNNNNNNNNNNNNNNNNNNNNNNNNNNNNNNNNNNNNNNNNNNNNNNNNNNNNNNNNNNNNNNNNNNNNNNNNNNNNNNNNNNNNNNNNNNNNNNNNNNNNNNNNNNNNNNNNNNNNNNNNNNNNNNNNNNNNNNNNNNNNNNNNNNNNNNNNNNNNNNNNNNNNNNNNNNNNNNNNNNNNNNNNNNNNNNNNNNNNNNNNNCUCGCCCCACCCCUCAUCCCUCCCGAGGACGUGACCUUAUUCUAUCAUCCCAAACUACAGUCAUUAUACCUACAAAAGGCUAAGGCAGAAUCACUAGUAGACACUAUGCAACGAACCAAACUAGAAACAAACAAGUAGAAAAUACAAACAUGCUAGUACUAUGAUUAAACUAAUCCAAACUAAAAUGGCUACAAUUUAGGUUUUCCAAAGAGGGGGUAAAAGAGUGGGAGGUACCAACUCCAGAGAAUAGAACCUGAAAUUGUCUUGGUUACUUGACGAUGUUGUGGCACCUGGCACGUUCGCAUCCAACUUCCUGAUGUCCCUUGCUGAUACAUGCCCUGGUUGCUCUCCUAUGCUUGUGCAUGCACUUUCCGCUCGUCUCCAAUACCACUAAAUUUAC